GACGAACGCUGGCGGCGUGCUUAACACAUGCAAGUCGAACGGAAAGGCCCUGCUUUUGUGGGGUGCUCGAGUGGCGAACGGGUGAGUAACACGUGAGUAACCUGCCCUUGACUUUGGGAUAACUUCAGGAAACUGGGGCUAAUACCGGAUAGGAGCUCCUGCUGCAUGGUGGGGGUUGGAAAGUUUCGGCGGUUGGGGAUGGACUCGCGGCUUAUCAGCUUGUUGGUGGGGUAGUGGCUUACCAAGGCUUUGACGGGUAGCCGGCCUGAGAGGGUGACCGGCCACAUGAGGACUGAGAUACGGCGCAGACUCCUACGGGAGGCAGCAGUGGGGAAUAUUGCACAAUGGGCGGAAGCCUGAUGCAGCAACGCCGCGUGCGGGAUGACGGCCUUCGGGUUGUAAACCGCUUUCGCCUGUGACGAAGCGUGAGUGACGGUAAUGGGUAAAGAAGCACCGGCUAACUACGUG
rnacentral:rRNA from 1 species